rnacentral:rRNA from 1 species
AGAGUUUGAUCCUGGCUCAGGACGAACGCUGGCGGCGUGCCUAAUACAUGCAAGUCGAACGCUUCUUUCCUCCCGAGUGCUUGCACUCAAUUGGAAAGAGGAGUGGCGGACGGGUGAGUAACACGUGGGUAACCUACCCAUCAGAGGGGGAUAACACUUGGAAACAGGUGCUAAUACCGCAUAACAGUUUAUGCCGCAUGGCAUAAGAGUGAAAGGCGCUUUCGGGUGUCGCUGAUGGAUGGACCCGCGGUGCAUUAGCUAGUUGAUGAGGUAACGGCUCACCAAGGCCACGAUGCAUAGCCGACCUGAGAGGGUGAUCGGCCACACUGGGACUGAGACACGGCCCAGACUCCUACGGGAGGCAGCAGUAGGGAAUCUUCGGCAAUGGACGAAAGUCUGACCGAGCAACGCCGCGUGAGUGAAGAAGGUUUUCGGAUCGUAAAACUCUGUUGUUAGAGAAGAACAAGGACGUUAGUAACUGAACGUCCCCUGACGGUAUCUAACCAGAAAGCCACGGCUAACUACGUGCCAGCAGCCGCGGUAAUACGUAGGUGGCAAGCGUUGUCCGGAUUUAUUGGGCGUAAAGCGAGCGCAGGCGGUUUCUUAAGUCUGAUGUGAAAGCCCCCGGCUCAACCGGGGAGGGUCAUUGGAAACUGGGAGACUUGAGUGCAGAAGAGGAGAGUGGAAUUCCCAUGUGUAGCGGUGAAAUGCGUAGAUAUAUGGGAGGAACACCAGUGGCGAAACCGGCUCUCUGGUCUUGUUAACUGACGCUGAGG